UACGUAGGUGGCAAGCGUUGUCCGGAUUUACUGGGCGUAAAGGGCGUGCAGGCGGUUUGUUAAGUGCAGGGUGAAAGCUCCCGGCUCAACUGGGAGAGGUCCUUGCAUACUGGCAAACUCGAGGGAGGCAGAGGAAAGUGGAAUUCCCGGUGUAGUGGUGAUAUGCGUAGAUAUCGGGAGGAACACCUGUGGCGAAGGCGACUUACUGGACGAUUGUUGACGCUGAGGUGCGAAAGCGUGGGGAGCAAACGGG
rnacentral:rRNA from 1 species